GAUGAACGCUGGCGGCGUGCCUAACACAUGCAAGUCGAACGGAAUUUACAUGAAGCCUAGCGAUUGUAAAUUUAGUGGCGGACGGGUGAGUAACGCGUGGGGUAACCUUCCCGCGACCAAGGGAUAACCCGCCGAAAGGCAGACUAAUACCUUAUGUCCUCCUUUGAAGGCAUCUGACGAGGAGCAAAGAUCCGUCGGUCACGGAUGGGGAUGCGUCCGAUUAGCUUGUUGGCGGGGCAACGGCCCACCAAGGCUUCGAUCGUAGGGGUUCUGAGAGGAAGGUCCCCCACAUUGGAACUGAGACACGGUCCAAACUCCUACGGGAGGCAGCAGUGAGGAAUAUUGGUCAAUGGACGAGAGUCUGAACCAGCCAAGUAGCGUGCAGGAUGACGGCCCUAUGGGUUGUAAACUGCUUUUAUAAGGGAAUAAAGUGAGUCUCGUGAGACUUUUGCAUGUACCUUAUGAAUAAGGACCGGCUAAUUCCGUG
rnacentral:rRNA from 1 species